rnacentral:rRNA from 1 species
AGAGUUUGAUCCUGGCUCAGGACGAACGCUGGCGGCAUGCCUAAUACAUGCAAGUCGAGCGGAUUUAUCCUUCGGGAUAAGUUAGCGGCGGACGGGUGAGUAACACGUAGGUAACCUGCCUAUAAGAUCGGGAUAACUAUCGGAAACGAUAGCUAAGACCGGAUAAUUGGUUUUCUCGCAUGAGAGAAUUAUGAAACACGGAGCAAUCUGUGGCUUAUAGAUGGGCCUGCGGCGCAUUAGCUAGUUGGUAGGGUAACGGCCUACCAAGGCGACGAUGCGUAGCCGACCUGAGAGGGUGAACGGCCACACUGGGACUGAGACACGGCCCAGACUCCUACGGGAGGCAGCAGUAGGGAAUCUUCCGCAAUGGACGCAAGUCUGACGGAGCAACGCCGCGUGAGUGAUGAAGGUUUUCGGAUCGUAAAGCUCUGUUGCCCUAGACGAACAGCAAGAGGAGUAACUGCCUUUUGUGUGACGGUAUAGGAGAAGAAAGCCCCGGCUAACUACGUGCCAGCAGCCGCGGUAAUACGUAGGGGGCAAGCGUUGUCCGGAAUUAUUGGGCGUAAAGCGCGCGCAGGCGGUCAAUUAAGUUGGGUGUUUAAGCCCGGGGCUCAACCCCGGUUCGCAUCCAAAACUGGUUGACUUGAGUGUAGGAGAGGAAAGUGGAAUUCCACGUGUAGCGGUGAAAUGCGUAGAGAUGUGGAGGAACACCAGUGGCGAAGGCGACUUUCUGGCCUAUAACUGACGCUGAGGCGCGAAAGCGUGGGGAGCAAACAGGAUUAGAUACCCUGGUAGUCCACGCCGUAAACGAUGCAUACUAGGUGUCGGGGAUUCGAUUCCUCGGUGCCGAAGUUAACACAGUAAGUAUGCCGCCUGGGGAGUACGCUCGCAAGAGUGAAACUCAAAGGAAUUGACGG